rnacentral:lncRNA from 1 species
AUGCCUUUUUAAGUAAAAAAUUUAUGAAACUCUUGGUUGAAUUUUGUCCCAUUAUUAGAUCUUACACUUUAUAUGACAAAAUCAAAUUAGAUCUCAAUGAACUUGAAAAAAUUUGUUAAUAUGUGAGUGACUUGAGACUAAUGUGCUAAUAGAAAAGUCCAAACACUUUUACUGAAGUCAUCAACAAUGGUAAGAAAAUA